UACGUAGGUGGCAAGCGUUGUCCGGAAUUAUUGGGCGUAAAGCGCGCGCAGGCGGUCCUUUAAGUCUGAUGUGAAAGCCCACGGCUCAACCGUGGAGGGUCAUUGGAAACUGGGGGACUUGAGUGCAGGAGAGAAGAGUGGAAUUCCACGUGUAGCGGUGAAAUGCGUAGAGAUGUGGAGGAACACCAGUGGCGAAGGCGGCUCUCUGGUACGGAACUGACGCUGAGACGCGAAAGCGUGGGAGCGAACAGG
rnacentral:rRNA from 1 species